rnacentral:rRNA from 1 species
GAUGAACGCUAGCGGGAGGCCUAACACAUGCAAGCCGAGCGGUAUUUGUUCUUCGGAACAGAGAGAGCGGCGCACGGGUGCGGAACACGUGUGCAACCUGCCUUUAUCUGGGGGAUAGCCUUUCGAAAGGAAGAUUAAUACCCCAUAAUAUAUUGAGUGGCAUCAUUUGUUAUUGAAAACUCCGGUGGAUAGAGAUGGGCACGCGCAAGAUUAGAUAGUUGGUGAGGUAACGGCUCACCAAGUCAAUGAUCUUUAGGGGGCCUGAGAGGGUGAUUCCCCACACUGGUACUGAGACACGGACCAGACUCCUACGGGAGGCAGCAGUGAGGAAUAUUGGACAAUGGGUUAGCGCCUGAUCCAGCCAUCCCGCGUGAAGGACGACGGCCCUAUGGGUUGUAAACUUCUUUUGUAUAGGGAUAAACCUACUCUCGUGAGAGUAGCUGAAGGUACUAUACGAAUAAGCACCGGCUAACUCCGUG